AACGAACGCUGGCGGCGUGGAUUAGGCAUGCAAGUCGAACGCGAAAGGGGAGCAAUCCCCAAGUAGAGUGGCGAACGGGUGAGUAACGCGUGAAGAACCUGCCUUCAACAGGGGGAUAACACUCCCAACGGGGUGCUAAUACCGCAUGAGACCACGGGUCUGCAUGGACCUGAGGCCAAAGGUGGCCUCUGCUUGCAAGCUACCGGUUGAAGAUGGCUUCGCGUCCCAUUAGCUAGUUGGCGGUGUAAAAGACCACCAAGGCGACGAUGGGUAGCUGGUCUGAGAGGAUGGUCAGCCACACUGGGACUGAGAUACGGCCCAGACUCCUACGGGAGGCAGCAGUCGAGAGGC
rnacentral:rRNA from 1 species